rnacentral:rRNA from 1 species
CAAUAGCGUAUACUAAAGUUGUUGCAGUUAAAAGCUCGUAGUUGAAUUUCUGGAUGUGAAAGGUGGUCCGUUCCUCACGGAAUGCGUACUUUCCAUUUAUGUCCAUCCUCGGAGUUAGUGUGUAUUACUUUAAUCGGUCGUGCAUACAACCUCCGUCAUUUACUGUGAGCAAAAUAGAGUGUUCAAAGCAGGCUUAUGCCGUUGAAUAUAUUAGCAUGGAAUAAUAGUAUAGGACUUUGAUCUUAUUUGUUGGUUUUAAAGAUCAAAGUAAUGAUUGAUAGGGACAGUUGGGGGCAUCAGUAUUCUGAAGCGAGAGGUGAAAUUCUUGGACCUUCGGAAGACUAACAACUGCGAAAGCAUUUGCCAAGGAUGUUCUCUUUAAUCAAGAACGAAAGUUAGGGGAUCGAAGAUGAUUAGAUACCG